UACAGAGGUCCCGAGCGUUGUCCGGAUUUAUUGGGCGUAAAGAGCGUGUAGGCGGCUUCACAGGUCCGCUGUGAAAACUCGAGGCUCAACCUCGAGCUGUCGGUGGAAACCGUGUGGCUAGAGUCCGGAAGAGGAGAGUGGAAUUCCCGGUGUAGCGGUGAAAUGCGCAGAUAUCGGGAAGAACACCCGUGGCGAAGGCGGCUCUCUGGGACGGUACUGACGCUGAGACGCGAAAGCGUGGGGAGCGAACAGG
rnacentral:rRNA from 1 species